rnacentral:rRNA from 1 species
UACGUAGGGUGCGAGCGUUAAUCGGAAUUACUGGGCGUAAAGCGUGCGUAGGCGGUUUGCCGUGUCCUGUGUGAAAGCCCCCGGCUCAACUGGGGAGGGUCAUUCGAUACUGAUCGACUCGAAGGCAGGAGAGGGUAGUGGAAUUCCCGGUGUAGCGGUGAAAUGCGCAGAUAUCGGGAGGAACACCUAUGGCGAAGGCAGCUCGCUGGGACGUUACUGACGCUGAGACGCGAAAGCGUGGGGAGCAAACAGG